rfam:Myotis brandtii contig262089, whole genome shotgun sequence.
AGGCCCGAAGACAGAGGCAGGGUCUGAUCUGCAGCCUCAGUGGCAGCUGUUGAUCGGCCGUUGCCUCUUUCUCUCUCUCCG